rnacentral:lncRNA from 1 species
AAAUAUAAAGGAGAUAUCUAUAUAUGCAUUUUAUGCUAUAAUCAUGUAGGAUAUUAUUGUUUUAGGUUUGUUCCACAUCUGCAGAAUAAAUUGCAACAGUAGAAGUGCAACACAGGAAAGAGUUACAUGCUAUUCAGAUGGACAAUGAGCUCCAGUGAAAUAAAAAAAU